rnacentral:rRNA from 1 species
AGUGAACGCUGGCGGUAGGCCUAACACAUGCAAGUCGAACGGCAGCACAGUAAGAGCUUGCUCUUACGGGUGGCGAGUGGCGGACGGGUGAGGAAUACAUCGGAACCUACUUUUUCGUGGGGGAUAACGUAGGGGAACUUACGCUAAUACCGCAUACGACCUACGGGUGAAAGCAGGGGAUCUUCGGACCUUGCGCGAUUGAAUGAGCCGAUGUCGGAUUAGCUAGUUGGCGGGGUAAAGGCCCACCAAGGCGACGAUCCGUAGCUGGUCUGAGAGGAUGAUCAGCCACACUGGAACUGAGACACGGUCCAGACUCCUACGGGAGGCAGCAGUGGGGAAUAUUGGACAAUGGGCGCAAGCCUGAUCCAGCCAUACCGCGUGGGUGAAGAAGGCCUUCGGGUUGUAAAGCCCUUUUGUUGGGAAAGAAAAGCAGCAGGUUAAUACCCCGCUGUUCUGGCGGUACCCAAAGAAUAAGCACCGGCUAACUUCGUG